rnacentral:rRNA from 1 species
AUGCAGACGCAUGCCGACCAUGGAUGCCCCGCCACUGCCCACCGGCCACACGUCCGUCCCUCGUCGUCAUGCUCACAUGCAACAGCAGCAACAUGUCACGCUGGAGGUCACGCUGGAGGUCACGCUGGAGCUUUCAGCAACAACAGCAGACGGAGGGCAGGGCGCCGGCGCCGGCGAGGUGGCGAGGGCGCGGGCGGGCAGGGCGGCGUCUCGCUCUACAUCGCCUACCUCGUCCUCGUCUGGACCUCAGAGUGUUGCGCCGAGCCGGGCAAGCCGUCGCACCUCGACCUCGUCGCACUGCUCCUCCUCGACGACGAAUAUGAGGACAUCGUUCGUCCGCUGCCGUCCUCCUCCUCUAAGACCGCGCCAAGCUCCACAAUAGCACUCUGCUUGCAUUAG